AGAGUUUGAUCCUGGCUCAGGACGAACGCUGGCGGCGUGCUUAACACAUGCAAGUCGAACGGAAAGGCCCUUCGGGGUACUCGAGUGGCGAACGGGUGAGUAACACGUGGGUGAUCUGCCCUGCACUUUGGGAUAAGCCUGGGAAACUGGGUCUAAUACCGAAUAUGACCAUGCGCCUCCUGGUGUGUGGUGGAAAGCUUUUGCGGUGUGGGAUGGGCCCGCGGCCUAUCAGCUUGUUGGUGGGGUAAUGGCCUACCAAGGCGACGACGGGUAGCCGGCCUGAGAGGGUGACCGGCCACACUGGGACUGAGAUACGGCCCAGACUCCUACGGGAGGCAGCAGUGGGGAAUAUUGCACAAUGGGCGCAAGCCUGAUGCAGCGACGCCGCGUGAGGGAUGACGGCCUUCGGGUUGUAAACCUCUUUCAGCACAGACGAAGCGCAAGUGACGGUAUGUGCAGAAGAAGGACCGGCCAACUACGUGCCAGCAGCCGCGGUAAUACGUAGGGUCCGAGCGUUGUCCGGAAUUACUGGGCGUAAAGAGCUCGUAGGUGGUUUGUCGCGUUGUUCGUGAAAACUCACAGCUUAACUGUGGGCGUGCGGGCGAUACGGGCAGACUUGAGUACUGCAGGGGAGACUGGAAUUCCUGGUGUAGCGGUGGAAUGCGCAGAUAUCAGGAGGAACACCGGUGGCGAAGGCGGGUCUCUGGGCAAUAACUGACGCUGAGGAGCGAAAGCGUGGGGAGCGAACAGGAUUAGAUACCCUGGUAGUCC
rnacentral:rRNA from 1 species